AGCAGCCGCCGCGGGAAUACGUAGGUCCCGAGCGUUGUCCGGAUUUAUUGGGCGUAAAGCGAGCGCAGGCGGUUAGAUAAGUCUGAAGUUAAAGGCUGUGGCUUAACCAUAGUACGCUUUGGAAACUGUUUAACUUGAGUGCAAGAGGGGAGAGUGGAAUUCCAUGUGUAGCGGUGAAAUGCGUAGAUAUAUGGAGGAACACCGGUGGCGAAAGCGGCUCUCUGGCUUGUAACUGACGCUGAGGCUCGAAAGCGUGGGAGCAGACAGGAUUAGAUACCCCAGUAGUCCCUGUCUCUUAUACAC
rnacentral:rRNA from 1 species